GUUCAGGCUCCGGGAGACACGCAGAAUCCCCACCCAUUCUGUAGCCACUGAGCUCUCUGGGAGCACCAAGCCCCACAGCCAUCACCCCGGGCCAUGGGGGUCUCUCGAUGGCGCGGGUUUGGGGCUUCCGUGGAGAUGAAUACCCCGAUUUGAGUGUUGAGCAUCUUAAUGAGCUAGGGGAGGGGGUGGGGAAGAGAGACAGGCUAAGAGCGCAGCGUCUAAAGAGACCACCCGGCCCGGGGUUCCGAGGCUGCUUUGUAAAUUAAAUAUGAACAGACUGGUGCGCUCACACUCCAAGCGUCCCUCCCUCUCCCCUACUCCUGCCGUCGCUACAGGCGGCCCAGCGGGCUGGGACCAUCGCAUCUUGCUCAGCCCCAGUUCAGAACACAGAACUUCACACCGCCUGCUCGGGCCUGGAGUCCCCCCCGCGCCGACCCAUGGGGAGGGCGCAAGCCGCCUUUCAGGGAAGGUGUCUUCGAAAAUGGUCGAGGGGUGAGAGCACUGUGACCCGUCCCUGCCGGGGAUCCUGUGGUGGGACAGCCAGGAUUGGGUCCCUAGCCCGGGGGAGGCAGAAUCUGGGUAGUGGAAGGGAGAAUGGGCUCGCUAUCUGCCCAGAGCUUCCCUGGACUGCAGGAACCCGUCCUAUAAGCAACCCCGAAACUUCGGGGCCCGAGGACCAGGGAAGACCCCCUUUCCUUGCUGUCUUGACAGGGUUGCAGAAGCCAAGGAGCUCGGCAGGGAGACGGGGCUCCUGGGGUGGUUAAGGACGCGGUGACCACCCCUGGGCGGGAGCUGACUCCCGCGGGCCCGGAGGCUCUAGCUCACUCUACAGCAAAUGCUUUUGUUCCCGGAGGCUGCCCUGGGGGAAAGACGCCCCUUACCCCUGCCUUCGACCCUGGAGAGCCCAGUGCCCGCCCGGGCAGGGCUGGAGCCCGAGUCGCCCCAGGCAGAGUCCGCCGAGGCCUGGGGUGGGAGCCGCGACUUCUGGAUCUGCCUCCGAGCUCAGCUAGAAGACUGCGCGCACCUCGUCCGGCGCCGCCCGGCGCGCAGAAGCGGGUCUAAUGUUUAUAACGUUAAUAAUGACAGUUAGGGAGGGCUGUGGAGCCGGGAACCAAGACCUCAUCCCGCCGCCGCCCACGUCUUUGAUCAUUAAAGAAACAGACAACUAAUCAGGGCCCAAGCCUGGUCCGCGCGCGCCCCCUGGUGGAAGCCGCUUGCCGGGCGCAGAGGCGGGUCAAUGGCGGAGGGUGCUGGCUGGGCGAGGAAGAUGUGGCUGGGCGAGGAAGAUGUGGCUGGGCGAGGAAGAUGUGGCUGGGCGAGGAAGAUGUGGCUGGAACCCUGCACCAAGGCGACCGCUGCUUACGGCUCUGCAGUCCCGCGGCGCGAUACUCCAGUGGGGCGCGCUUAACCAAAGUCCCGAGGCUUUAUUUCCCGUGCCCACCCAGUCUAUGUCCCAGGUAUCAGCAACCUCUGAUCCACUACACAACACAGGCGCGGUCUCUACUUCGCGCUGCGUAGUUUCCAGUGCCCAGGGCGUCUCCUAAUUCUUGAGCGACUAGUCCCUGGCACAAAAGCUUCCUAUACACCUCUCCCACUCUCCCUUCUCUCUGAGUCUUAUGACUUUGUCAGGGGCCUAUUAAAAUAAAUGUCUGAGAUCUGGAAAAAAAAAUCUGUUGGCGCUAACAGGGGCAAAGAAAACUGCAAAAUUGGAAGUAAUCGAUGUUUGAUUGAAUGUUUAGCACGUGCGACAUUGUGCAAACGAUUCUGUUGCAACUGCACUCAGAGUUGUACAUGCCCUUGUAUUUUAAUGUGGCACGCGGAGGAUUUAAUGGACUUGCCUAAAGUUGUGGGAAGGGCCUCUGAGAAUAAGAAAGCCGGGGCCCAGAUGGGCAUCAAACAUCCCCAGCAUAGCAGCCGGUUAAGGCUGCGGAGACCUUCCCCAAGGCUGCCCUCCAGCCAGAAGCCCUUGAACACUCACUACUUCCCAUCUUUCAGCUUCUGCGCGCGCGCACACACACACACACACACACACACACACACACACAAAUGUUCUCUCCAGCCCCACACCCCCAAGAAGCUGCUUUCCUUUUCUAAUUUCCAGUCGAAAGAUCACUCCUCAGGGAAGCCAGGCCCUGUUUAUACUCCCUCCUCCGGCCUUUCCUUGUGCAGGCUCUAUGUAGUCGUCAGGCGGGCAGGUCCUAGCGUCAGACUCCAUUAUGUACUGACUGUGUGUCCUUAGCCAAGUUAUUUAACCUCUCUGUGCCUCAAGAAAAAAAGGCAUAAAUAAGAGUACUGACCAGGCGCGGUGGCUCACACCUGUAAUAAUCCCAGCACUUUGGGAGGCCAAGGCGGGCGGAUCACAAGGUCAGGAGUUCGAGACCAGCCUGACCAACAUGGUGAAACCUCGUCUCUGCUAAAAAUACAAAAAUUAGCCGGGCGUGGUGGUGCAUGCCUGUAAUCCCAGCUACUCAGGAGGCUGAGGCAGGAGAAUCUCUUGAACUCGGGAGGCAGAGGUUGCAGUGAGCCGAGAUAGUGCCACUGCAUUCCGGCCUGGGAGACGGAGCGAGACUCUGUCUCAAAAAAAAAAAAAAAAAAAAAAAAAAAAAAAGAAUACCUAUGCUUUUGGGUCACCUUGAGGAUUAAAUGAAUCAAUGUAUGCAAAGCACUUAGUACCUGGCACUUAGUGCUCAGUACUUGAGAUACGUUUUUAAUAUAAUAGCUGAAUUAGCCAUUAUUAUUGCCUUGCAGAGUGGGACACAAGUUUGAUAAAAGGUUCUGCUGCACACACCCCUACAGGCUUGUGUCCUGCCUCCUCCACAGGGGAGGACCUUGGCUCUGCCCCCCAGACUUCUUCACCACCACCACCCCCUUUGCACACACACACACCAUGGGUAUAUGUAGAAACCAGAUUUACUAUUAUUAUUUGUAAAGGUUUCUAGUUUCAGAUACUUAGACUGAUGCUUGUCAGCAUGCCUGUUUGCGAAGAAAGACCCGCAACUGCAGACUUGG